CUGGGCCAAGAGAACACUUCGGUGACAACCCCGAAUUCCCUCUGGUGCUAUUUCUACCUUAAGCACAAUAACCAAUCAGGACUCGGCUCGGUUCCCUGACCCCCACCCGUCGCUGCCCAUUGCCCCACCCUGGCUUCCUGCUCCAGGGAGGUGGGGGGCUGCUCUUUCGGGGGCAGCCCCACUCACCUUUAAGAAACUACCCUGCAGUUUCCAGAAACCCUGGAUGAGCGAUUAACAGUGGUCGGCUCUCCGUUGCCCGCCUCGUCUACCUGCCAGCCGGUGCUGACGCCCAGGGUGCUGCUGCCGCGUGCCCGCCCCUCCCCUCUGGACGGUUGGAAUAUCUGUCUGGGAUUUCAAGGAGGUCACCUCCCCUCCCCUACCCCCCACCCAGAUGAUGGAUUUGGAUCCAGUGCCUGCAACGCUCAGGAAUGAUUUCAUCUCUCUGGUUCUUGGAGUUGAGGCCGGACCAGGAGGCUCCUGCCCCAGGAAAAUGUAAGCAAGUGGACUGGAUGGGAGGGUCCCUGCAGAGGCCGGGAUGGCCUCCCCCUGCCCACCCCGGGCACCCAGGCCAGGCCAGGUCCGGCCCCGGCUCGGGAGAAGUGGUUCAGCCCAAGGUGCGGGUUGGCGUGAGACGAGGGCCCCGUCAGGAAUAGCAACGGGCCUGAAGUCGCCUGGGUCAGGAAGCUUCUGGGGUCACUGAGCCCUGUCCUCAAACCCAGCACCGGGGUGGAGGGGGUCUUCCUGCCACCCCCUCCCCACCUGCCCCAGACUCCCUCUUCAUUCAAUCGUAUUUCAUUCAAUUGUAUUU